rnacentral:rRNA from 1 species
AAUUUAUACAAUGGAGAGUUUGAUCCUGGCUCAGGAUGAACGCUAGCGGCAGGCCUAAUACAUGCAAGUCGAACGGGCGG